rnacentral:tRNA from 1 species
GGGUCGCUAGCUCAACUGGCAGAGCAGGGCGCUCUUAACGCCAAGGUUCCCGGUUCGAUUCCGGGGCGACCCA